rnacentral:tRNA from 1 species
GCCAAAGAAGGUUAAUGGCCUUUGGACGCGCGGGACUUAAGAUCCCGUCUCUUAGGGGUUCGUGGGUUCAAAUCCCACCUCCUGCA